UACGGAGGAUGCGAGCGUUAUCCGGAUUUAUUGGGUUUAAAGGGUGCGUAGGCGGACUGUCAAGUCAGCGGUAAAAUUGAGAGGCUCAACCUCUUCCCGUCGUUGAAACUGGUGGUCUUGAGUGGAUGAGAAGUACGCGGAAUGCGUGGUGUAGCGGUGAAAUGCAUAGAUAUCACGCAGAACUCCGAUUGCGAAGGCAGCGUACCGGCAUCCAACUGACGCUGAGGCACGAAAGCGUGGGGAUCAAACAGG
rnacentral:rRNA from 1 species